GAUGAACGCUGGCGGCGUGCCUAAUACAUGCAAGUCGAGCGAACGGACGAGAAGCUUGCUUCUCUGAUGUUAGCGGCGGACGGGUGAGUAACACGUGGAUAACCUACCUAUAAGACUGGGAUAACUUCGGGAAACCGUAGCUAAUACCGGAUAAUAUUUUGAACCGCAUGGUUCAAAAGUGAAAGACGGUCUUGCUGUCACUUAUAGAUGGAUCCGCGCUGCAUUAGCUAGUUGGUAAGGUAACGGCUUACCAAGGCAACGAUGCAUAGCCGACCUGAGAGGGUGAUCGGCCACACUGGAACUGAGACACGGUCCAGACUCCUACGGGAGGCAGCAGUAGGGAAUCUUCCGCAAUGGGCGAAAGCAUGACGGAGCAACGCCGCGUGAGUGAUGAAGGUCUUCGGAUCGUAAAACUCUGUUAUUAGGGAAGAACAUAUGUGUAAGUAACUGUGCACAUCUUGACGGUACCUAAUCAGAAGGCCACGGCUAACUACGUG
rnacentral:rRNA from 1 species